rnacentral:lncRNA from 1 species
AAAAAUCCAUUACCAUGUCAUUCUACUAGUCCAGUAGGGAACAUCUAAUUAGACAAUUGUCUGACGCUUGACAAUUCUCUCCUAAACUGACAGGGUAAACUGUAAUGGGGUGAGCAUAUGAUUUGUUUCAACUGGGAUGUCGAUCGACAAAUUUGCAAGGAAAGUUUAGGCCGUGCUGACAUAGCAUAUAUGUAGAAUCUGAAUGGCUCGAAUUAAUCUGCUGACGUGAAUACCCUCUACUCUUUGUUGAGUAUAUUCUCUUUUUUUAGUAUUGUUAGAUUAGAUUCAUUUUUUUUAACAUCUCAAAUCAAAUACGUAUUAUUUAUUCUAUUCGUAUUGUAAAGAACAUGUUUUUUUGGUAGGUACAACAAGAAGUUGU